GCCCUUCGGGGUCGGCGGUACACGGUGGCUGCAUGGCUGUCGUCAGCUCGUGCUGUGAAGUGUUGGGUUAAGUCCGCAACGAGCGCAACCCUGCUAUCUGUUGCCAGCAAGUAAUGUUGGGGACUCAGAUGGAACUGCCGGUGACAAACCGGAGGAAGUGGGGACGACGUCAAGUCAUCAUGGCCCUUAUGUCCUGGGCUACACACGUGCUACAAUGGCCGGUACAGAGCGCAGCGAAGCCGCGAGGACGAGCGGAUCCCUUAAAGCCGGUCGCAGUUCGGAUUGAAGUCUGCAACUCGACUUCAUGAAGCUGGAAUCGCUAGUAAUCGUGGAUCAGCCAAGCCGCGGUGAAUACGUUCCCGGGCCUU
rnacentral:rRNA from 1 species